rnacentral:lncRNA from 1 species
GGACCCUGAAAGACAACUCUCUGCAACUUUAAGAACAUGGACUGGGCUUGAAGGGGCAGUAAGGAAAGAAUGAUUCAUUUUGACUGUGAUUGCUGGGAAAGAUAUCUUGAAAUGGAGACUGUGGAUGAAGUUUUGUGUUUGCUCUACUGACCUGAAGUGAGGAACAACCACAUACAUCUUUGUCUUCACUCUGUCCAGCUGUCAACUGCAUUGUUCCCUCACGUCUUCCUGCAAAGUACCAUUAUUUCCACACCUUAAGAAUUAAAGAGUGAAGAGAAAACGACAAAAUGUUCUUGUUUAUCAGGAGAUGGGGGUGAGCUGAGCUUUCCACAAGGUCCUGAAUGGAUGAGAAGGACCCAAAACAUAUGGAAAAUAUGGAGAAUAGGGUAUAAGUAAUAAAAAUAAAAAUAAAAUAAAUAAAAUAAAUUGGGAAU